CGGAGGGUGCGAGCGUUGUCCGGAAUCAUUGGGCGUAAAGGGCGCGUAGGUGGCCCGGUCAGUCUUUGGUGAAAGCGCGGGGCUCAACCCUGCGUCGGCCAGGGAUACUGCCGCGGCUCGAGCACUGUAGAGGCAGGCGGAAUUCCGGGUGUAGCGGUGGAAUGCGUAGAGAUCCGGAAGAACACCGGUGGCGAAGGCGGCCUGCUGGGCAGUACAGCUGACACUGAGGCGCGACAGCGUGGGGAGCAAACAGGAUUAGAUACCCUGGUAGUCCACGCCGUAAACGAUGGGCACUAGGCGCUUGGGGGAGCGACCCCCCGAGGGCCGGCGCUAACGCAUUAAGUGCCCCGCCUGGGGAGUACGGCCGCAAGGCUG
rnacentral:rRNA from 1 species